rnacentral:lncRNA from 1 species
GUGACUUGGCUUGUACACAGGAUAUAUCACAUAAACGGAACGAAUCUCAAAUUUUUCAACUUGAUACAACACAAUAUACGAGCAAACAAAACUGAAAUUUUUGACAUGAAGUUAUACAUGUAUCAACUCUAAAUGUUUGAAACUAUUCGUAAUCUAAAUUCAGUCUAAAACUUAAAAUUAAAUCAGUACCCAUCAAUCAUUUUCGACACCGAAAAGUAAAGUCAGCACCAGCAUUCCUGUAGUACAAGUUAGCCUGUAGCUGUUUGCUGUGAGUGCUCUUUGAUUCUAGCUGAUGAAGCUUCAGUGAUCCACUGCACUCUUUAUUAGCCAUUCUUAAGCAGUCACCUCAAAACAAUCAAAAUAAUUAUCAGAUUUCAAAUUAAGGUAGGUAAGCGUGAUGAAAAAGGCUGGAAAAAUGAAGUCCUCAUAGAUAUUGUCCAGCAAAUUAUGUCCAAAAAGUUCUCUUUCAAUGGUUAAGGAAUUUGUCUCGUAUUCACAUUAAAAGAUAUAUAGCUAAGGUAUUUGUCUCAUAUUCACAUUAAAAUACAUAGCUAGGUAGCAACAUGUGGACAAUUCAUAUUCAUGGGUGUCAAGUCUUUUAAAGAUCCAGGAAGCUCAUAUUAUGAGUCAUAAAACUGCAAAAAGAUAUUAUAGCACCAACACAAAACUAGAUAUGCAAGAGAAUUUUUUAGAAUUCAUUAAUUCUCAUUAAUAUUUUUCAGAUAGAUUAAUUCAACAAUAUGCAGUUGACAAAAAUAUAUAACCAUAAUUCAUUCAGUGACACAUUUGCACAAUUUAAAAUUUACUGCAGAACAGAGGCAAAUUGAAUUAAAAGAAUAUUUAAAAAGGUCACAUGGAAUGAGAAUGAAAGCCAAAAUUAUAACGGUUUACUGUCAAGUUCCCCCAUCCUCUUAAGACCAGUAUGAGCACGAUCUGAUGUUUCUUUCAAGGCCUAUGAAAUUGGUAGAUAAACUAGUACACAUAGGUUAAGAACUGCAGAGAAGAACUAAAAGAAGCAAAGGUAAGCCUUUAACAGGAGUACAAAAAUCAUAUAAAAAUUAUGAAAAAUUGGACUUCAUCAUUCUACAUUGAAAGAGAUUACGUAAAUAGUUUGCAUAUCCUUCUCACUUAAUCACAAUUUAAAAUUUGUUUUCCAAUUUUCUCAUUCACUCAUGAGUUUCUGAGUCACCUACAGAUUUUUGGCAUCAACAACAGAUAAUUAUCUGAUAGCACAGAAAAUAGAUACUGCAUGCCAAUCCAUUCAAAAUCCUUUCUUCAGUUCUAACACUUUGAAAGCACAGUUCAGGUAAGCAAAAUAAGUCCUGAAAAACAGAAAAGAGGCGAAGACCAAAGUACAAAUUCUCACAAUUCAUGAUCUUGUAAACCAUCUAAAUGGAAAUCAUCCCAUUAACUACCGCAGUAGGUUUCUAGACUAAUGGAAGAAGAAAUGCUUACAUUAAUCAAUUCUUUACGACCAUCUUGUAGCUCACCGUAACUUUUAUGUUUUUUAUGAUUAAAGUGUGGUUCAAUGCUUCUACAUCUUCAAUCUCUCCUGGUUCAAUCCUUCUACAUCUUCAAUCUCUCCUGGUUCAAUCCUUCUACAUCUUCAAUCUCUCCUUCCUUUCCUCUCAAAUCUUUAAGCACUUUUUCCAUCUUUUGCCGGACCUCUGUAUCACCACCAUUGCACAUGUGCUUCAUCACAUUUAACGUCCCUCUCAAUCGCUCAAUUUCCUUGUUUUGCAUCCAGCUGAAGUAUUUUGUUAUGAAGCUUCUCCUUCUGCAUCUGUAUGAGAUUAAAAGUAGGAACGGUGGUCAUCUAUUGCCUCUGGUUUCGAAGGAAUUGAUAUGGAUGCAUUGUGGUUAUGACCAAAGCAUUAAAAAAAACAAACUUUGUCAUUAGCCUUCUGUUGUUCCAGCGCAGCCAAUUGAAGUGAACUGUUUCUCCUUGCAUUCUAAAAGAGGAGUAAAGUUUAUUUUGCAACCACACCUUUGAUCAGAGUCAACAAUGUGAGAGUGACAUAAGUAAGCUCAUAAGAAACCGUUACCAAAUUCCUUCUCACAGGAGAAACGGAGUGACAGG